GGAUCUCUGUGAGUUGGAGGCCAGCCUGGUCUACAGAGCAAGUCCAAGGACAGGCUCCAAAGGAUUAUGAAGGCAUCAGAGGAUCUGAGGAGGGCUCAAAGCCCGCCACCUAUGGUGAGAAGCAGACAGUAGGGACACACUUGUCAGAGCACAGUGUCUCCUAUUUGGGGGCAGGAAGUGGGCUGAAAGGCAACUGGAAAUCUCAAGCGUGUACUGUAACAGGAAAAUGAAGAAUGCCUAUGAGGCAGGCGGAGCAAGGACAGCAACAUCUUUGUAUCGCUGGGCCUCGCCAUGGAGCUUGUACUGAUCUUGAACUCACAAUCCUCCUGCCUCAGUUUCCGGAGUGCUGGGAUUACAAGCAGGCAACAUCAUAGCAAAUUCUACAAGUUAACCUGGUAAGUGCAAGAGAGUGUGAUAUGAGGACCCUGGAGAGUUUAUCCUCCUAAGCCAGGUGACUCCCACCACCACAAAGAAAAGACAUGGGUGGGACCCACUUCAUUUGGGUCUUCAGAAAUCAAAGAACGGUUUUGGAAGUCAUGAGCCAG